AUCCAGCUGACGAGUUCCACAUAAAAUGAAACGCGCGCCCUGAAU
rnacentral:hammerhead_ribozyme from 1 species